rnacentral:lncRNA from 1 species
AGUAUAUCCGCAGUAAAUAUGAUAAGUAGCAAAACACAGACAAAUUCAAGUAUUGACAUAAUAUCAUCAAAGGAAAACGUGGAAUGGGGUUUAACAUCAUUAAAAACGAGAGAUGGCAUGUUAGCGGAUUCCUCAUGGGUAUGUGUAGAUGGGUCUCUAGUUUUGAGGAACUGUGCGUUUUAUAAGAGUUGCCCUGGUGGAUAAUUAGGAAUUGUUUAGGGAGUCCCCAUUUGUACUGGAUGUUCUUUGAAUAGCGUAGCUGUAAGAGUGGUUGUACGGAUCUGCGCCACCCGAUGGUGCUUCUAGUAAGAUCUUGAAACAGAGCAAGUGUGGAGCCUUUAAAUAGCAAAGGGGUCUUCCCAUGCGCUGCAGUUAUAAUAAGUUUUGCCUUGUAGGGAUUGCAAGCUGACGAUUAGUUCAGCAUAUGUGCCCAAUCGUGAAGUUACUGGCUUCGGUAUGCGGAACAUACCGUCAAGCUUCACCACCUUGCUUAGUUUCGGUAGUGAUAGGAGGUUUAUCUGUUGUCAGACAAAGUGAGGUGCCUCAGAAGGGCCCACAGAAUCUGGUAUGCCCUGGAUGUUUAAGUUUUGAUGCCUUCGUUAAUCCUAUAUGGUGUCUAUCCUGUUGGUACAGUGAGGGGGAAAGUAUUUGAUCCCCUGCUGAUUUUGAACAUUUGCCCACUGACAAAGAAAUGAUCAUGUCAGCAGUCAGUGGGCGGGUCAAAAGGAAACAGUGACAAAGCCAACAGCAUCAGGCUUGAAUACAAGUAAGAUUUACCAUAUUUAGGGAGGCAUGAGGGCGACCAGGGGGGCUAGAUGGUGGUUUUAACCCUAUAGGGUCAGGAAUACAUGUUUGUGUUCCUGACCAUAUAGUGCUCCUUGAGGUUGAUAUUUGGCAACUUGAACCUUCAGCUCCCUCCACAGAUUUUCUAUGGGAUUAAGGUCUGGAGACUGGCUAGGCCACUCCAGGACCUUUAUGUCUUUCUUCUUGAGCCCCUCCUUUGUUGCCUUGGCUGUGUGUUUUGGGUCAUUGUCAUGCUGGAAUACCCAUCCACAACCUAUUUUCAAUGCCCUGGCUGAGGGAAGGAGGUGCUGACCCAAGAUUUGACGGUACAUAGCCCCGUCCAUCGUCCCUUUGAUGCGGUGCAGUUGUCCUGUCCCCUUAGCAGAAAAACCCUCCUAAAGCAUAAUGGUUCUACCUCCAUGUUUGACGAUAGGGAAUGUGUUCUUGGAGUCAUAGGCAGCAUUCCUCCUCCUCCAAACACGGCGAGUUGCGUUUAUGCCAAAGAGCUCGAUUUUGGUUUCAUCUGACCACAACACUUUUACCCAGUUCUCAUUCGAAUCAUUCAGAUGUUCUUUGGCAAACUUCAGAUGGGCCUGAACAUGUGCUUUCUUGAGCAGGGGGACCUUGCAUGCGCUGCCAGAUUUUAGUCCUUUAUGGUGUAGUGUGUUACAAAUUCUUUUCUUGGUGACUAUGGUCCUAGCUGCCUUGAGAUCAUUAACAAGAUCCUCCUGUGUAGUUCUGGGCUGAUUCCUCACCGUUCUCAUGAUCAUUGAAACUCCACGAGGUGAAAUCUUGCAUGGAGAACCAGACCAAGGAAGACUGACAGUUAUUUUGUGUUUCUUCCAUUUGCAAAGAAUCGCACCAACUGUUGUCACCUUCUCACCAAGCUGCUUGGUGAUGGUCUUGUAGCCUAUUCCAGCCUUGUGUAGGUCUACGAUCUUGUCCCUGACAUCCUUGGACAGCUCUUUGGUCAUGGUGGAGAGCUUGGAAUCUGAUUGAUUGCUUCUGUGGACAGGUGUCUUUUAUAUAGGUAACGAGCUGAGAUGAGGAGCACUCCCUUUAAGAGAAAGCUCCUAAUCUCAGCUUGUUACCUGUAUAAAAGACACCUGGGAGCCAGAAAUCUUGCUGACUGAUAGGAGAUCAAAUACUUAUUUCACUCAUUGACAUGCAAAUCAAUUAAUAACUUUUUUUACAUGCAUUUUUAUGGAAUUUUUUUUUUAUUCUGACUCUCACUGUUAAAAUACACCUACCAUUAACAUUAUAAACUGAAGAGUUUAUUCUUUGUCCAUGGACAAA